rnacentral:tRNA from 1 species
GGCAUAGUUCAGUUGGUAGAACAUUGGUCUCCAAAACCAAGUGUCGUGGGUUCGAGUCCUGCUGCCC